rnacentral:rRNA from 1 species
AUGGAGGUGGUCUUUGAUGGAGGAGGAGGUGCUGGCGGUGCCAACAACUGGAGGUCCCAAAUCAGGGAAGAGUUUCGCAAGUCUCGUAUCUCAGAACUAUCAGAGGCUCUGAUGCAAGCACUGUCGCCAGACGAGCCCGAGACAUUGACUGAUCUUCUGAAUGUUGCUGUCAGAUUAGAGAGAAUGAUUUUCAUAGUAGCUGUUAGCGAGGUUGAUUAUAAUUAUAAGCUGUAUACGAGAUUGGAUCAUUUAGAGGAUGAUCAUUUUGAGGACAUAUCAUCAGAUAAUCAUUUUGAGGACAUUUCAUCAGAUGAUCAUUUUGAGGACAUCUCAUCGGAUGAUCAUUUUGAGGAAAUUUCAUCAGAUUAUCAAAUGCUUGAACCCUCAACUGCGACGCUUCUGCGAGGAAUUUUUAGUGAUCCACAGAAUCAAAGCAUUCAGGUACAGAGCAACCUCCAGAGGAUGCUAUCUGGUGAUAAUACAAAAGCAACAGCGCCUAUAGGAAAUGAAGAGAAGCCUUGCUGUGAUGACAAUGAUAGGAUUAGCGUCCUUCAUGAGAGCAUACUCCAUUGUAUCAUGUCCUUCAUGCCAGCACAGGACGUUGUACGCACAAGCAUGCUAUUCCGAAGAUCGCCCCCAUUAUGGACUUCAGCGCCAUGCCUUGAUAUCGAUAUUGAUCACUUUGAUAUGGACAGAGUAAAGUUCAACAAGUUUGCAAAAAGUUUGUUUGAGCGGCGGGGUAAUGCUAAUACAUUGGACAAACUCCGCCUUCACUCUUUUGCAAUUGAUGCAGCCAAGUAUUGGAUCGGUGAUGCUAUCAGACUUCAUGAAGUUAAAUCGAUUGAUUUCACUGAAAAUACAAGAUGGGAAGCUUUUUACUUAGAUCCUAAAGCUAUCAACUUUAGCUCUAAAUAUCUGCGAACUGUGAAGCUCACUAAUGUUAUAAUAGUUGCAUCUGUCUUUGAUCAGCUCAGCCGUGAAUGCACGUCUUUGGAAAAUCUGCAGUUGGCAGACAGCACUCUUUAUUGUCCUGAGAUUUCAUCAAGUUCAUUGAAGACUCUGGAAAUAAUAAACUGCUUAGUUUUGAAUCAUCUUCUGAUUCGUACUGGCAAGCUGGUCUCGCUAUGCUUCAAGGACACUCGAUGCAGGUGCACUCCAAAAUACAUAGUUCGAACUACAUCAGCAGUAAUCCUAUGUGAUCUUUCAAACGCCAAGAGCAUAGAACUGCCAACACCAGUGAGACAUGUCGCAUUCGAUAGAAUGACUCCAAGGUGCUCAAUGUUCAUCAGUCUGACAAGUCUCAUUCUUGGUGAAUGGUGUCUUUCCAACAAAUUUGCUCCUCUAGCUUGCUUCCUCGAGCACUCUCCUAUGCUUGAGAAUCUUGAUCUGAAGCUCAAGUUUGACUGUGAAGAGCAAAAGCAGCCGCUUCAAAUGGCUGAGGGAAUAUCAUUCCAAGCCAAAAGCCUUAAGAAGGUAACGAUCCACUGCGCCGAAGAGGAGGACAGGCUUCCCGUGUUGAAGGCUAUACUGCUUGCCAAUGCAAGAUGUGUCAAGCACAUCGAUGUCAAGACGUACUAG